AUUGAACGCUGGCGGCGGGCCUAACACAUGCAAGUCGAACGAGUGGCGGACGGGUGAGUAAUGUCUGGGAAACUGCCCGAUGGAGGGGGAUACCUACUGGAACCGGUAGCUAAUACCGCAUACCAUCGGAUGUGCCCAGAUGGGAUUAGCUAGUAGGUGGGGUAACGGCGCACCUAGGCGACGAUCCCUAGCUGGGCUGCGAGGAUGACCAGCCAGACUGGAAAUGAGACACGGGCCAGACUCCGACGGGAGGUAGCAGUGGGGAAUAUUGGACAAUGGGCGCAAGGCUGAUGCAGCCAUGCCGCGUGUAUGAAGAAGGCCUUCGGGGUGUAAAGUACUUUCAGCGAGGAGGCGUUACUCGCAGAAGAAGCACCGGCUAACUCCGUGCCAGCAGCCGCGGUAAUAC
rnacentral:rRNA from 1 species